AACGAACGCUGGCGGCAUGCCUAACACAUGCAAGUCGAACGAUCCCUUCGGGGAUAGUGGCGCACGGGUGCGUAACGCGUGGGAACCUGCCCUUAGGUUCGGAAUAACUCAGAGAAAUUUGAGCUAAUACCGGAUAAUGUCUUCGGACCAAAGAUUUAUCGCCUUUGGAUGGGCCCGCGUUGGAUUCGCUAGUUGGUGGGGUAAAGGCCUACCAAGGCGACGAUCCAUAGCUGGUCUGAGAGGAUGAUCAGCCACACUGGGACUGAGACACGGCCCAGACUCCUACGGGAGGCAGCAGUGGGGAAUAUUGUACAAUGGGCGAAAGCCUGAUCCAGCAAUGCCGCGUGAGUGAUGAAGGCCUUAGGGUUGUAAAGCUCUUUUACCCGGGAUGAUAAUGACAGUACCGGGAGAAUAAGCCCCGGCUAACUCCGUG
rnacentral:rRNA from 1 species